rnacentral:rRNA from 1 species
UUGGAGGGCAAGUCUGGUGCCAGCAGCCGCGGUAAUUCCAGCUCCAAUAGCGUAUAUUAAAGUUGUUGCAGUUAAAAAGCUCGUAGUUGAAUUUCGGGAUCAAUGUUUCGGUCAUGCCGUUGGUAUGUACUGAUAUUAUUGGCUUCUCACCUUCUAAAGAACCGUAAUGCCAUUAAUUUGGUGUCACGGGGAAUUAGGACUGUUACCUUGAAAAAAUUAGAGUGUUUAAAGCAGGCUCACGCUUGAACACAUUAGCAUGGAAUAAUGAAAUAGGACAUCCGAUUCUAUUUUGUUGGUUUCUAGGAUCGAUGUAAUGAUUAAUAGGGAUAGUUGGGGGCAUUAGUAUUCAAUUGUCAGAGGUGAAAUUCUUGGAUUUAUUGAAGACUAACUACUGCGAAAGCAGUUGCCAAGGAUGUUUUCAUUAAUCAAGAACGAAAGUUAGGGGAUCGAAGACGAUCAGAUACCGUCGUAGUCUUAACCAUAAACUAUGCCGACUAGGGAUCGGAUGAUGUUAAUUUUUUAAUGACUCAUUCGGCGCCUUACGGGAAACCAAAGUGUUUGGGUUC